AAUCCCCACAAAGCAUAAAGUGCUUGUAUACCUAUGGGACUUCUACAUAUAUUUAAGCAGCAGUUUGUUACAGUUAUAGGGCUAUAUUGAGGCCAAUUGUGAGCUGUUUGAGGAUCCGUAGUCUCUUGCAGGACAUUGUGUAUGCUUCGUUCAAGCACGGCUAUUGCAAUCUACGCCGCAAGUAUGGAAGCCCGCAAAGGACACCAUCACACACGUAGUGAGUACGGUAUUCGGAGACUCACUUGGAAGAAGGAUAGAGCCGUUGUUUCUAUGCGGACUGUGUUUUGCCACAUCCCGAUCUUGUAAAUUUGGAUAUGUUGUAGUGCCCAAUAAAUUUGUCAACACUGUAAGUGCAA